AUACGUAGGUGGCGAGCGUUGUCCGGAAUUACUGGGCGUAAAGGAUGCGUAGGUGGAUACUUAAGUGGGAUGUGAAAUCCCCGGGCUCAACCCGGGAACUGCAUUCCAAACUGGGUAUCUAGAGUGCAGGAGAGGAAAGCGGAAUUCCUAGUGUAGCGGUGAAAUGCGUAGAUAUUAGGAGGAACACCAGUGGCGAAGGCGUCUUUCUGGACUGUAACUGACCCUGAGGCAUGAAAGCGUGGGUAGCAAACAGGAUUAGAUACCCUGGUAGUCCACGCUGUAAACGAUGGGUACUAGGUGUAGGAGGUAUCGACCCCUUCUGUGCCGUCGUUAACACAAUAAGUACCCCGCCUGGGGAGUACGGUCGCAAGACUAAAACUUAAAGGAAUUGACGGGG
rnacentral:rRNA from 1 species